GCAACUGAGGCCGUCACGGCAGUUUGUCCGUAAAAAAUUAUAUCGUGUUUAUACACACAUUGGAUCACACAUCAAGAUGAACUAUCCACGCGACUUGGUGUAGAUGAUUGAUCCAUAUUUUCCCGCAUUUAUUUAUUUAUGUCUUCUAUUGUCAUGCAAUAUCAAUCAGUCACAAAGCUGUUCGUAUGUAGAUACGUACGUAGCAAUCCUUGUUUUUGCCCUCUCUGACAUAACACGUCUGCGUGUGCAUCUUCUGUCGUC